UCUUUUCUAAUUCCUCUUCCCCUCCUGUUCUUUAUUUUCCAGCGAAUUCGAGAGAUCAAGUUAGAUUUUUCUUAUAGGUAGAAGAUGGAACCGAGCAUGGGGUAGUUGUUGGUGAUAGUGAUGGUGUCUGUUGUUGAUUCAAAUUCGAAUCUGAGAGGAACUGAAUUCAGGGUUUCUCUGUAAAUCGAUGAGGGUGAAGAUGAUAAUAAGAUUAAGCUUGGGAGAUGAAUAAUAGUAUUUCCGAGAGAUGAAUAAACGAGGGUUGAGGUUUAACUUACUUUUUGAAGUUUUUAUGGAGAAGAAUCAAAGAACUAGUGUUUGGAAGAAGACUGUGUAAGAUCGAUUAGAACACGAAUUUGAUGUUUUAAAAAGGGGAUUUGAGAUGGGUAUUGAUCGAUUGAAUGAAUUGGGGUUGGAGAUGAAAAGUAAUUCGAGUUUGAUGAAGUCUGAGUUUUGAAGAUGUUUGUGAAGAGUUUGAUUCUGUGAUAAGAAAAUGAUGGAGUUAUCUCUGGUGAUGAACUGGUGGAUAUUUGAGUAAACAUGAUUUGGAGAUUGAGAUAAUUAUAGAAUGGAACUGUGACUGUGGAUGACAAGAUGUUGAUACUUGAAUCAAGGACUGAGAUGAGUAUAGAAUUUCUCUGUUUAAAGUUGUGGUUUAAGGCUAUGUUGAUUCGUAGAGGUUGGUGGUGAUAUUGAAUUGAGGUGCAGCUGAUGUUGCAAGUAAAAUGGUUGUCAGGGAUGAAAUAGUGGUGUUGCUAAGAUUCUUGUGAUGAUGGUGAUGGAACUGAGAUAUAGUCGAGAUAUGGGAGUCUGCAAUUGAAUUGUUGGUAAGUUGUGAUAGUGUAGAUAGGUUUGUAGUGGUGCGUAUGAAGUGCAGUAGUUUUUCCAGAGAAGGCUUGUUAGUAUCUGAAGGCAUGAGAUUGUAGUGGUGGACAAAAUAACAUGAACUUGUGUUGUUGGUUACCGUUAUUGUUGGUUGCUUUUGAGUUUGAGUCUGGCUGUGUGUUGUUUGAGUUUCCGUUCAACUGACAAUGAAGAGAAGUUGAAUUACUGUGAAAUGUUAUUGUUUUGGGGGCUAAAAGGAAUUGGUAAAAGUUUGAUUGAAUGUGAAGAAGUUAUGGCUUAGUACUGCUAUUGCAGGUAAAGCUUAAAUUUCAUCUGUAUAUUGAAUUGUUGAGUUCUGUUUAAAUGAAUAGACUGAAAUUGAAUUAUUGAUUAGAGUUGCAGUUAUGUGA